AAACCUAAAGUCAGCAGCGCUUAAAUCAUAUAAAAAAUCACGUACCGGUAAAACUGCCAGAUGGAACAUUCUCACGAUUUAAAAUGAUUUUAACCAAGGUAUUUAGCUUACUCCAUAGCACAUGCAACGUAUCCGAACACAAGAGGAAGUGCCACUGAACGGAACCUACGGGUCCCAGGUAUUACAGCUUGUCUGCUGUUGCGGAGACUGCCAGUAGGGGCUAAUAUUCCCUCCCACAUCAUUCAGGACAAACACAUAAGACUAUCCUGAGGCAGAGAGGCUAUUCUCCAAUGCGACUCACCUUGGAUCCAUUUCAGGUGCUUGAGGGCUGUUUUCUGCUGUCACAUCUCUAUUCAAAGGACCCCUCUCUCUUCUGAACAUUACUCACAAGCCUGCGUGAAAGAAUCGGAACAAGUCCAUGCUCCUUCCCUUCUACGAUGUUCAUUAUCGGAUGUCAUAAUUGCAAAUUCGAUUAGUAUGCUUUGGCAUCGCCUGUUCUGUUAAAAGACGUCAGUUUGAAAUAUCGCCUGCACAUUUCAUUACCAGCCUGGCAAUGCGUCAGAUGGAGAGCGCAAAAUUUAAUUUUAUUUUAUUGUAGAAUCAUUGCUUUCAUAUUGCUGAGGUACUGGUCUACAAUCGUUCCGACAGAGGGCUCGUUUAAGGGCACCGAGCAGUGCAGGUGAUGUGGUAAAUACUAAAGGCUUAGAUGUCUGAUAUAACAGCUGCUCUACGAAUACACCAAAUUU